AUCUAUUUGUGUAUGAUUGUCAGUCCAAAGAAGGAGACAGGAAAGUGGGGAACGUGAGGAGAAAGUACAAGGCCUGGAAGAACCAGAUGAACAAUUGCAGGGAGUGACAGAAGUAUUGGUGGAUUGACACAGGGUGGGUUUUUCCAGGGAGUCCAGCAGCAGUUCAUUCUCCCAUCUUCGGUGAAAGAUGGAAAUCCAACUUUCCAGCGUGGCUAUUUUCUGGCUGAGCUGAAAAAGAUCCAGAGCUAGUCGAUUGUAGCGGGUCUCUUUAGUGUAAUCCUUCUGAAACCAUUUAUGGGUAGGUAGCAACCAAAGGAGAAAUCCAUAGAGCAGAAGGACACCAACAGGUGUUCUGUUGGUGUUGGGCUGGUUGUCAGAAUUCAAUUGUUCAAACAAAAGUAGGUAGAAACAAAUAGUUUUAUAGUAUAAACAGAGUUUCAAGCUCACAGCAGAUGACCAGUUGGUAGUGUCGUGCAGCAAUAACCUAAAGUAAUGGGAGAAACGUGUCAAGCCAGCCAAAACUGAAAUAUGAUGAACAUGUAUUUUAGUAAUGAUGACUGCAAAUGAUGUAGAGGUACAUCAAAAUUUAUAUUUGUCUGCACAGAUCCACAAAAAAAAGUAGAAGCUUACACACAGAAGCUUAGUUGACAGAAGAAUAUCCAACCGAUUUACACAGACAACAGUAAGACAUCAUUUCUUUACUGCAGCUUUCCUGUCACUCUUUCUCACUUAGGCACAGGAGGAUGCUAAUGCUACCAACACUUUUUCCAAACUCACAGUCUUAGAGAGCACAACAGUGAACGGAUUUGAUUUAAAUCCCUAUCGUGGACAAUGAUUCACAGACGUAGAGCUAUCUAAACCAGAAGUUCCAAUAUGAGACACAACCAAUCAUGGCAGUCCGCCCCUCCAUGAGCCUGGUUCUGCCGGAGAUGCCUUCUUGUUAAAAGGGAGUUUUUCCUUCCCACUUUUGCAAAAGUGCUUACUCAUGUGAAUGUAAUAUUUUUACAUGGAAUAUUAAAUAUCUAUUUAAUAUUAUAUCAAUUUAUUUUAGUUAGUACUUAAACUGAAUUGAAUUUAAUAUAUCACAAGGAUGGACUGAGGUCUGAUUCAGCAAAUCCAGAUUUAUAUAACUAUUUUGUUUUGCUGAAUCAGAUCUAACCUCUGAAAGCAAACAAAUAUUCAAACGCUUCUGAUCAGUUCAGUCUCUUUUUUUUGUAACUACUCAGCAGUCAGAAAAUCAUUUAAAACCAAGAUCUAAACUACAAACAUACCAACAUAGCAAUUCUAAAAAUAAUAGUUUCUUGAGAAAAGAAUGUAUUUCUAUUGGCACACAACAGCAGCAGCAUUAUUUUAGAAAAAAAAUUACUAAGGUCAGUAUGAUUAAUCCUUCCAGAUUAAAAAAAAUGUUAUUGAGCCAUAGCACAAGCCACUGCUGUGAUAUAUAAGAUAAGAUAAGAUAGAACGUUAUUAAUCCCUCGGGUGGGUUCCUCUGGGAAAUUCGAUUUCCAAAAAAGCACAGCACCGACAGAAGUUACAGAGUUACAGAAUAUUAUAUAUAUAUAUAUAUAUAUAUACACACACACACACACACACACACACACACACACACACACACACACACACAUAUAUAUAAUACAGAGACAAUAAAAAUAAAAUAUACGAAGGGGAUAAAUAGAAUAAAUAGGAAUAAAAAAUAAAAAUACAAGUGAAUUGCACAUUUCAAGUAUUGAGGUCUAUUGCACUGUUGACUAUUUACAAAAGUAUUGCACAAAAGGUAUUGCACAGUGAGGUGAAGAGGCACUACAACUUAGUGUAGUGUAUUGUUGUGCACUGUGUAUUGUUGUGUGACCACGUUUUCUGCAUCUAGAAGACCUAGAUUAG
ensembl:lncRNA